CACCUGCAUCACUGCAACUUACUGGGAGGGAGAGGUGAGGUGGUGGGGAGGUCAGCAUGGUGCAAGUGCAGGAUUGGUUCCAUUGGUGCGUUUGCACUGCGCUGACCUCACCGCUGCCUUACCUGCCCCCUUCUGGGUGAGUCGUGGUGACUCAGGU